UACAGAGGUCUCAAGCGUUGUUCGGAUUCAUUGGGCGUAAAGGGUGUGUAGGUGGCGCCGUAAGUCGGGUGUGAAAUUUCGGAGCUUAACUCCGAAACUGCAUUCGAUACUGCGGUGCUUGAGGACUGGAGAGGAGACUGGAAUUCAUGGUGUAGCAGUGAAAUGCGUAGAGAUCAUGAGGAAGACCAGUGGCGAAGGCGGGUCUCUGGACAGUUCCUGACACUGAGGCGCGAAAGCCAGGGGAGCAAACGGGG
rnacentral:rRNA from 1 species